GAGGUCUUAGCUUAAUUAAAGUGUUUGAGUUGCAGUCAGAAGAUGUAUUGUUUAUACAGGCCUUCAGAA
rnacentral:tRNA from 1 species